rnacentral:ncRNA from 2 species
ACAACCUCGCUGGGAGAAGCUGGCCGUCCGACCACGGGCAUGGCCAGUGCCGAAGGAGCAACCGCCCCGGAAACUCUCAGGCAAAAGGACCAGCAAGGUGCC